rnacentral:rRNA from 1 species
AACGAACGCUGGCGGCAUGCCUAACACAUGCGAGUCGAACGAGACCUUCGGGUCUAGUGGCGCACGGGUGCGUAACGCGUGGGAACCUGCCCUUAGGUUCGGAAUAACUCCCCGAAAGGGGUGCCAAUACCGGAUAAUGUCUUCGGACCAAAGAUUUAUCGCCUUUGGAUGGGCCCGCGUUGGAUUAGCUAGUUGGUAGGGUAAAAGCCUACCAAGGCGACGAUCCAUAGCUGGUCUGAGAGGAUGAUCAGCCACACUGGGACUGAGACACGGCCCAGACUCCUACGGGAGGCAGCAGUGGGGAAUAUUGGACAAUGGGCGAAAGCCUGAUCCAGCAAUGCCGCGUGAGUGAUGAAGGCCUUAGGGUUGUAAAGCUCUUUUACCCGGGAUGAUAAUGACAGUACCGGGAGAAUAAGCUCCGGCUAACUCCGUG